rnacentral:rRNA from 1 species
UACGGGAGGCAGCAGUGGGGAAUAUUGCACAAUGGGCGAAAGCCUGAUGCAGCUAUGCCGCGUGUAUGAAGAAGGCCUUAGGGUUGUAAAGUACUUUCAUCGGGGAGGAAAAAACAAAACUAAUAAUUUUAUUUCUUGACGUUACCCGAAAAAGAAGCACCGGCUAACUCCGUGCCAGCAGCCGCGGUAAUACGGAGGGUGCUAGCGUUAAUCAGAAUUACUGGGCGUAAAGAGCACGUAGGUGGUUUUUUUAAGUCAGAUGUGAAAUCCCUGGGCUUAACCUAGGAACUGCAUUUUGAAACUGAAAUACUAGAGUAUCGUAGAGGGAGGUAGAAUUCUAGGUGUAGCGGUGAAAUGCGUAGAUAUCUGGAGGAAUACCUGUGGCGAAAGCGGCCUCCUAAACGAAUACUGACACUGAGGUGCGAAAGCGUGGGGAGCAAAACGAGGGAUUAGGAUACC